rnacentral:rRNA from 1 species
CGGGGUGCAGCAGGCGCGAAAACUUUGCAAUACACGAAAGUGUGACAGGGCUAUCCCGAGUGCCAUCCGCUGAGGAAGGCUUUUACCCAGUCUAGAACGCUGGGGGAAUAAGGAGAGGGCAAGUCUGGUGUCAGCCGCCGCGGUAAUACCAGCUCUCCGAGUGGUGUGGAUGUUUAUUGGGCCUAAAGCAUCCGUAGCUGGCUAAGUUAGUCCCUUGUUAAAUCCACCGAAUUAAUCGUUGGAUUGCGGGGGAUACUGCUUGGCUAGGGGACGAGAGAGGCAGACGGUAUUUCCGGGGUAGGGGUGAAAUCCUAUAAUCCCGGGAAGACCACCAGUGGCGAAGGCUGUCUGCUAGAACGCGCCCGACGGUGAGGGAUGAAAGCUGGGGGAGCGAACCGGAUUAGAUACCCGGGUAGUCCCAGCUGUAAACGAUGCAGGCUAGGUGUUUGGACGGCCACGUGCCGUUCUAGUGCCGCAGGGAAGCUGUUAAGCCUGCCGCCUGGGGAGUACGAUCGCAAGAUUGAAACUUAAAGGAAUUGGCGGGGGAGCACAAGGGCGAUUGCG